ACGGGUGAGUAACGCGUGGGAAUCUACCCAUCUCUACGGAAUAACGCAUGGAAACGUGUGCUAAUACCGUAUACGUCCUUCGGGAGAAAGAUUUAUCGGAGAUGGAUGAGCCCGCGUUGGAUUAGCUAGUUGGUGGGGUAAAGGCCUACCAAGGCGACGAUCCAUAGCUGGUCUGAGAGGAAGAUCAGCCACACUGGGACUGAGACACGGCCCAGACUCCUACGGGAGGCAGCAGUGGGGAAUAUUGGACAAUGGGCGCAAGCCUGAUCCAGCCAUGCCGCGUGAGUGAUGAAGGCCCUAGGGUUGUAAAGCUCUUUCACCGGUGAAGAUAAUGACGGUAACCGGAGAAGAAGCCCCGGCUAACUUCGUGCCAGCAGCCGCGGUAAUACGAAGGGGGCUAGCGUUGUUCGGAUUUACUGGGCGUAAAGCGCACGUAGGCGGACUAUUAAGUCAGGGGUGAAAUCCCGGGGCUCAACCCCGGAACUGCCUUUGAUACUGGUAGUCUUGAGUUCGAGAGAGGUGAGUGGAAUUCCGAGUGUAGAGGUGAAAUUCGUAGA
rnacentral:rRNA from 1 species